rnacentral:misc_RNA from 1 species
GAACUGCGAUAAGCAAUGCGAAUUGCAGAAUUCCGCGAGACAUCAGAUCUUCGAACGCACUCUGCGCUAGAGGGAAACUCCAUCUAGCAUAUUUGUCUCAGUGUAAACAUUUUAAAAUAAAUAAAUAUGAUUGAUUCUUAAAAAAAUCUCUCAUUAAAUCAAAAUAAGAUUAUUAUUCAAUCCAAUGAAUCGGUAGUUUAAAAAACUAUUUCGUUGGGAUAAAUUGAUUAAUAUUUUUUAUAGAAAAGUUACCACAAUCAAUAAAUACUUACCUGAGAUCAAGUAAGAAUACCCGCUGGAGUUAA